UCAGGAGCAGCUGCAACUUUAUAUAAUGUUUUGCAAGCAGCAUCCUGACCUGCAAGGGGGAAGCUAACUCCGACCAACCCUCAAUGGCUGCAAAUACUUUGGUCGGAGUUAGCAGAUAAUUUAAAUGCCUUAAGAGGUCCAACUCGGUCGGCAACCAAGUGGAGGGAGUCCUUAAUGCAUUGGAAACAUCAGUUGCGAUCGCGAGCGCGCAAACUGAAGGCACAUGCGCAAGCGACUGGUGGAGGCACUCCGAUAAAUGGAAUAACUGAGUUCGAGGAGCAAGCCAUUCCAACUUUUGGGGCAGCAGCGGUGGAUGGAUUGCCGGGUGUUGCGACUUUGGGUCACCAGAAAUAUUUUAAUUUAAUAUUUGUCGGACAAUAUAUUUUAUUAUUACAUGAGGCAAUAAUUGGUCCGUUUUAUACUUACAGGUUUUGCCGCCGUUGUAUUUAAAUACAGAACCAGUCGCUGCUCAAGCUCCAGCUUCCUCGCCAACACCAACAGUCACAUCGCCUGCUCCAGCGCCCUCACCAGCAGUCACAUCGCCUGCUCCAGCUUUUCCUGCUCUGUCUACAAAUUUUUCUUCCUCACCAUCACCUCCAGAUUUGUCCCCUUCUUCCUUAUCUCCUCCCAUCUUACCUUCUCCUAUGCCAUCACCUACUUACAUCCCUUCUGAAGGUAAAAAGAUGCUUGCAGCAGUGCUACAAAAAAAGCCAUCACCUACUUACAUCCCUUCUGAAGGUAAAAAGAUGCUUGGAGCAGUGCUAAAAAAAAUUGAGGAGCGUGAAAAGCGAGAGGAGGAGGCCAUUGCUCUACAAAAGAAAAUUGUAGAGCAAAACGAGCAGAUGACGGGGGUACUGAACCAAAUGACACAAGCACUAACCUCGAUGUCAGAGGUUAUGGCUAAAUUGUGUGAACAAUUAAAUAA